rnacentral:rRNA from 1 species
UACGUAGGGGGCUAGCGUUGUCCGGAAUCAUUGGGCGUAAAGAGCGUGUAGGCGGUCCGGUAAGUCCGCUGUGAAAGUCGGGGGCUCAACCCUCGAAUGCCGGUGGAUACUGUCGGGCUAGAGUGCGGAAGAGGCGAGUGGAAUUCCUGGUGUAGCGGUGAAAUGCGCAGAUAUCAGGAGGAACACCUAUUGCGAAGGCAGCUCGCUGGGACGUAACUGACGCUGAGACGCGAAAGCUAGGGGAGCAAACGGG